GAUGAACGCUGGCGGCGUGCCUAAUACAUGCAAGUCGAGCGAACGGACGAGAAGCUUGCUUCUCUGAUGUUAGCGGCGGACGGGUGAGUAACACGUGGAUAACCUACCUAUAAGACUGGGAUAACUUCGGGAAACCGGAGCUAAUACCGGGUAAUAUUUUGAACCGCAUGGUUCAAAAGUGAAAGACGGUCUUGCUGUCACUUAAAGAUGGAUCCGCGCUGCAUUAGCUAGUUGGUAAGGUAACGGCUUACCAAGGCAACGAUGCAUAGCCGACCUGAGAGGGUGAUCGGCCACACUGGAACUGAGACACGGUCCAGACUCCUACGGGAGGCAGCAGUAGGGAAUCUUCCGCAAUGGGCGAAAGCCUGACGGAGCAACGCCGCGUGAGUGAUGAAGGUCUUCGGAUCGUAAAACUCUGUUAUUAGGGAAGAACAUAUGUGUAAGUAACUGUGCACAUCUUGACGGUACCUAAUCAGAAAGCCACGGCUAACUACGUG
rnacentral:rRNA from 1 species